UACAGAGGUCUCAAGCGUUGUUCGGAUUCAUUGGGCGUAAAGGGUGCGUAGGCGGCGCGGUAAGUCGGGUGUGAAAUCUCGGGGCUUAACUCCGAAACUGCAUUCGAUACUGCCGUGCUUGAGGACUGGAGAGGAGACUGGAAUUUACGGUGUAGCGGUGAAAUGCGUAGAUAUCAGGAGGAACACCAAUGGCGAAGGCAGCUCGCUGGGACGGUACUGACGCUGAGACGCGAAAGCGUGGGGAGCAAACAGG
rnacentral:rRNA from 1 species